AUUGAACGCUGGCGGCAGGCCUAACACAUGCAAGUCGAACGAGUGGCGGACGGGUGAGUAAUGUAUGGGAAACUGCCUGAUGGAGGGGGAUAACUACUGGAAACGGUACCUAAUACCGCAUACCAUCGGAUGUGCCCAGACGGGAUUAGCUAGUAGGUGGGGUAAAGGCGCACCUAGGCGCAGAUCCCUAGCUGGUCUGAGAGGAUGACCAGCCACACUGGAACUGAGACACGGUCCAGACUCAUACGGGAGGCAGCAGUGGGAAAUAGUGCAAAAUGGGCGAAAGCCUGAUGCAGCCAUGCCGCGUGAAUGAAGAAGGCCUUAGGGUUGUAAAGUACUUUCAGCGGGGAGGCGUUACCCGCAGAAGAAGCACCGGCUAACUCCGUGCCAGCAGCCGCGGUAAUUC
rnacentral:rRNA from 1 species